AUUUAGAAGUUAAUUUUUUGAAUUUGACAUUUCACUGUUGAAACAAUUUCUCUUGUGGUCACAAAACUACAUUUUCCUGAUAUUAAGUCACCCACUUUCAACGGAACUUGGUGGGGGGAGCAAGAUUUCUUUGGCUGAGUUUUGCAGGUUCUGUGUGCUCAGUCGAUUCAGUCACGUCCGACUCUUUGUGACCCUGUGAACCAUAGCCCGCCAGGCUUCUCUGUCCAUGGGAUUCUCCAGGCAAGAAUACUGGAGUGGGUUGCCAUGCCCUCCUCCAGUGGAUCUUUCCCACCCAGGAAUUGAACCCGCAUUUCUUACAUCUCCCGCAUUGGCAGGCAGGUUCUUUACCACUAGCACCGCCUUUGCAGGACAAGGUACUGAUGCUGAUAAUGCUGUCACCAAGUAUUAAGCUUCCUUUCUUCUCCAGUGGCAGGUGACAGAGGUCAAGAUUUAUUUAUUCUUUUAACACCUGAACCUAGAGAUUGAUCCGUGGAAAUGAUGCAAGUUCACUGAAGCAGUCCUGCAGACUGAGACCUUCUCAGUGCUCUGAGAAGGAUACUUUAUUACACAGUGAUGGGUUAUUGAACCAAACCUGGAUCUGCUUGCCCUCCAGCAGUCAAGCCAAUCUACUGACACAGUGUUGGUGAAGGAAAGUGCAGCAGUGUUUGCAGGGCACCAAGCAAGGAGUCCAAGGCAGCUUGUGAUCAACCCCCCCAAACUCCCCCCAAGAGGUUCAGGCAAGCCUUUUCACAGGGAAGGUGAGGAAGGGGAGUUCCAGUUCAUGUACUGUUCUCUGAUUGGUUGAUGGUGAGGUCAUGGGGCGGGGUCACAGGGGUUAUCAUGAUCAAUCCUUAGGAGCCAGUAGGUCUGGGGGCUUCAUGCUCCUGGUCAUCAAGUAGUUAACGUCUUCCAUAUUAGCACCUGCAAAACAACUCAGAAAAUGUGCAUCACAUCCUGUUAUUACCUAGAUAGUUCAGAGAGGGGCAGGGGAUAUGCGGAAGGGGUCUGUCCCAGGAAGGCCCCAUAGAGUCCUGCUCCACUACAGAUGCCUACUCGUAUUCGAGAGGCCUGGAGCUGUCCCUUUGCAAAGUCAGAGGAGAUAAGGCCUUGGCUCCCAGUGCCCGGGGAGAAGAUGGGCCCGAACUGUCAUCUGACUCCUCGUUGUGAAACCUGCAGAUGUAAUUCAUGUACCCACUGAGCAGCCUAAGAACGAGGCUACUUCCUGUCUGCAUCCCUUCAGCAGACUGCCUGCCAUACCCAUCACAUUCUGGUUUAACGCUUGCUCAAUAGUCAAACCGUUUUCUUUCUCUUCUAUCAUCAUGGAGAGGUUUUCGGCCUUAGGAGCAGAUUUUGUUUUCAAUCUCUUCCCCACACUUUGCACAGCACCGGGAAUGAAUCUCAUGUCAGGGACAGGCAGAGACACGAAUCCUCCUAUUGACCCGAAGAAGGCAGUCCAGGCCCAGCGGUCUGCGGCUUCUCUCCCAAAGUUUUCAGCUGCUGAUUUUUUUUUAAGAUUGAUUUAUUUAUUUUUGGCUGUGCUGGGUCUUCAUUGCUGUGUGGGGGCUUUUCUCUGUGGUGAGCGGGAGCUGCUCUCUGGUUGCCGUGCGUGGGUCUCUCAUUGUGGUGGCUGCUCUUGUGGUGGAGCCCCGGUUCUGGGGCUUCAGCAGUUGCGGCACAUGGGCUCAGCAGUUGCAGUUUUUGGUCUCUAGCUCACAGGCUCAGUAGUUGUGGUGCAUGGGCUUAGUUCCACAUGCUCCUUGGCAUGUGGAAUCUUCCCAGAUCAGGGACAAAAUGCAGUCUCCUGCAUUGGCAGGUGGAUUCCUACCCACUGGCAGUGGUGGUUUAGUCCCUAAGUCGUGUCUGAUUCUUGUGACCCCAUGAACUGUAGCUCGCCAGGCUCCUCUGUCCAUAGGAUUUUCCAAUCAAGAAUGCUGGAGUGGGUUGCCAUUUCCUUCUCCAGGGUAUCUUCCCAACCCGGGGAUCAAACCUGAGUCUAAUACACUGCAGGCAGAUUCUUUACCGACUGAGCUACCAGGGAAGCCCAGGGGCCACCAGGGAAGCCCCCAGCUGCUGAAUUUCUUACUUGUGGGUUUUGAAUUGUAGGCAGAACAUGCUCUGUGAGCAUCAAAAUAUUGAGCCUAAGUCUACAGGAACGGAAUUUUGUAAAUGUCCCAAGAUGGUUGCUGAUGGCCCAUGUGUUUUGAGUCCAUCUCCCACCUGAGAGGCCAGGUGGCCGGUGAAAGUCCUAGGAAUUGUGUCACUCCACGUGGCACCAGAUCCCUUGCUACCUCGUCCCUGUGCAGCCUGCCCUUGGCUGUGGCUGUCCUCUGAGCAAAACAGUGAAAUCAAAGAGGCCCUUCCGCUGCACAGGACAUAAUUACCUGACCCAAGAUACUCCCCUCCUUUACUACC
ensembl:lncRNA